CGCCAACGCCAUUUUCUUCUCUCGCUCCCUCACCUCGAGCUCGCCGACUCUCCGAUAAUCGCUAUUGUCCUCCCUCUUCGCGAGCGAAGGAUAUGGAGACGGAGAUUGGGAGAAAUGGUGGAAUCGGAAGAGUGUAGAAGUGUAGAGAGAGAGAGAGAGAGAGAGAGAGAGAGAGAGA